CUGGGGGACAGUCAGGUGCAGGGGGAGGAGGCAGUGUUUGGGCAAAUAUUGGACUUGGCCACACUUGCUGUUCGUAUCAGGAACCCAAUUGGUGUUAUUGAUUGACAGAUUCGGGGACCAACUGUUUAGAAAGCUGAGCCCCCUCGGAUUGGGCUAGGUGUUUCAACAAACAGCCCUAAUGCUGGGCAAACAGGGCUGUUGGAAGAAGUGCCCAGCGUGUUAGCAGAGCAAACCAAGCACUGAGCAAACAGCUUAAAAGAAUGUGGCCACCUCCACGUAACCUCAACCGAGGUAUUGAUCCCACCGGAGGAAAGAGAGGGGCCGAGUGGGGAACAGAGAGAUACAAACCCCGGCAGAAUGUAAAUGUUAUCUUUAAGCUGCGGCUGUCACGGCCCUAAUGGGCAUCUGUUUGGAAUUUGUCUUCUUGCAAAUCUUUAAAUCCAGGUCAGGGCCAGGCACAGAAUUUAAUAACAACUUUUCAGAGAGAUCGGGGCUUGGGACUGAUUUCAUUCCCCAUAAGCCCAACUGGGACUCUUCUGUUCUUCUUAAAGGCAGCUGCCUUGCAUGGAAACUUGCUGGGUGCAAGUCCCAAGCUAGAAAGAGAUAAAUCUUCUGAACACUGGUCAUAAGGCUACAGGAGAGAAGAAGGAAAUUCAGAAAUAAAGGUGCUUUCUCUGACCCCUGAGCUGUCCAUACAAGAGAGCUGGUGGAGUGGAAAGAAUCCUGGACUCAGAAUCAAGAAAUCUGGGUCCUGCUGCAGCUGCUGGCUCUGACUGGCUGCCCCUUCUGUCUUCACCUCCCUGACCUUCAACCUCUGUAUCUAUGAACUGAGGGAUGCAGUCCCUGCUGGGCAUAUUCAGGGUCAGGCCAGACAAGCCCAUUCCAAGGUGGGAGCACACUCUGCAGACAGAAAACACUGUCCCAGUUUAAGGAAUCGGGAUAUUUGCUGAGAGACCCUGGGAGAUGCCCCUCCUGAGCCUGAGACCUUCUGACAUCACCAAGUCGCAAUGGAAUGGACCAUGGCUGUGGUUAUCUAUUUUUCUAGGAGCCAGGCUGACGGAGAAGCC
rnacentral:lncRNA from 1 species